rnacentral:rRNA from 1 species
CCUACGGGAGGCUGCAGUGAGGAAUAUUGGUCAAUGGACGGAAGUCUGAACCAGCCAUGCCGCGUGAAGGAAGACUGCCCUAUGGGUUGUAAACUUCUUUUGCAGCAGAGCAAUAAGGCGUACGCGUACGCCGAUGAGAGUAUGUUGCGAAUAAGCAUCGGCUAACUCCGUGCCAGCAGCCGCGGUAAUACGGAGGAUGCGAGCGUUAUCCGGAUUUAUUGGGUUUAAAGGGUGCGUAGGCUGUUUUGUAAGUCAGCGGUGAAAGACCGGGGCCCAACUCCGGAAGUGCCGUUGAUACUGCAUUGCUAGAGUUCCCCUGCCGUGGGAGGAAUGAGUGGUGUAGCGGUGAAAUGCAUAGAUAUCACUCAGAACACCGAUUGCGAAGGCAUCUCACGAAGAGGCAACUGACGCUGAGGCACGAAAGCGUGGGGAUCAAACAGGAUUAGAUACCCGGGUAGUC